GUUAAGCCCCCAGAUUCUACAACACCUAGAAAUAUCCAGUCAUGAGUCCCUUCCCCCUCCUUGCACACAGCCCGGUCAGAAACCUGACUCUGCACUCCAUGCAAGAGGAAGUCCUCCCAUUGAUCCCAAAUGAUGAUUGAUCUCUCCCAUUAGAGCCUGUUCAUUCCUUAGGGACUUUGGAAAGGAGAGCAAAAGCAAGCAGAGCAUCUCCUCCCUUCCUCCUCAUCAAUGAUUUUGAAGAAUUUCCUCCAGUCUUUGAAGGGCUCCAGGGAGAGGGCCUGAGCUCCAGUUCAAUAGGUAAAAAGGUAAGGGAUGGCCCCAGUAGAAAACAGUUCAUCAGCUUGGAAUCAGUGUUGCAAAUACUAGAAACGUAGUGUAGUACAAGAAAGAACAUGCUAUGUGACAUGGGGCAGCCAAGUCAUUUCACUUCUCUGAGCUUCAGUUUCCUUUUCGAACCUAUCCCUGUAGGCUGUUAGAGGAGAAAUAAACACACAAAGGAGCUUUAAACCAGUAUUGAGCACUUAGUAGGUAUUCAAUAAGUGAUUUUUCCAACUGAGGAGGACACCUGUCCUACAAACUUAGCAUCAUAUUGUAAGUUUAUAGAGGUGAGGAAAACAUACCAAAGGGAAUACAAGUUAACCAUUUCCUUGUUUGCUCAGGGCAGCCCUGCCCACUGGUCCCAGGGGAAGAGGACUAUACCAGCAGAACUGAAGUGUUGACAAGCGUAACCAAAGCCACUUACUUCAUCGUAAUCAGAUUCUCCCUAGCUAGGGGAGGCUUCUCCCAGGCUCCCCAGGCCUGGCUACCGGCCCAUAUUGAUCCAUUUCUAAUUAGGACCUGUGUCAGUGCUUCUGACAGAAAGUCAGGGCCUAGGCUGCCUCUGCUGGCCUCUGGCCAAAGCCUAAAAUACUCUUGCCCAGGGUAGACCCAGAGAACCAACACUUUUGUGGUAGAAAAGGAUCCCAGACUGAACUCAUAAAGCAGCAUAAAAUUUUAGAGCCAAAAGGGUCCUUUAUAAGCAUGAGCUUUGUUUAUGCUACAAGUGAGAAAACUGAGGUCCAGAAAAGAUAAUUUGUCCAUGGUGGUACAAAAAGAUAAUGCAGAUCUUACUUCUAUUUCUUUCCUCUUGAUAACUGCCUCCAACCUGGCUACACAACAGAAGCACUCCAGGAACUUGUUAGAGAACCUGAUUUAGAACAUAUGCAGUGGUUCUUUUACGAAGUAUAUGAUCAUCUUCCAAUAGAAGUGAACCUUGAAAUCACAGGACCAGUUUAUAGCUAGGUUCAAAUCCACCUUGGGUCACAGUAGUACCAUUUAGAAGAAACCAGCUAUUGUCUGAUCCAGCCUUCCCCCACCCCAACCAUAACAAAGUUAUUCUAGGGGCCUCAGAAGGGUCUGUCAUAAGUAAUAGUUCAGACUUCCUAGUGGUCCACUAGUUUGGCUAUGAGCAAAGACAUUUCCUUUCAAAACUAGUCUGAAAGUAAAAUGUCUCUUAUGAAGAUUAGAAAUACCUAAGGAAGGGGUGUAGGCAAUAGUGGGAGAUGGUGUGGUGUGGGAUGUAUGAGACCCAAGGUGUAGGGAGAUGUGUCUGUGUACAGAGGAAGACCUAUGUGGAUAUGUAAGGGAGUAAACAGUGUGGUGUCUGUGAGACAGGCUUGCAGAUACCUUUGCAACACAUACUGAGUACCUGGUUAGAAAACAGAACAGAACUGGAGGUACAGGAGGAUAAAUGUGUUGGUACAUGGCAGGAGGGGGGGUGGGGAGUACAUAAUUCGAAGGUGUAAGAGAGAUUAUAUGGAUGUGUAUGGAAGAGAAGCAAUGUGUGCACCUUUGUAACUCAAUUUUGUGUCUAUGUGUUGCAAAGCAUAUGAACUUAUAGGGACUGGAGGGAGUGUGUGUGGCCUAGACACUCAUAUGCAUAAGAAAACAGAUCCCUGAGCGUAUCUGACUCAUCCAGCCCUAGCUUUUCCUGAAGGCUCAUACCACUCAAGGGCAAGACUGUCUGCAGAAAUUUCUCAUUAAAAUUGACAUUAUGACAACUACUAAAAAAAAAAAAAAAAAAAAAAAAAAUGGUAACGACACCCCCAGCAUCGUGGGAGGUUAAAAAAAAAACGCCAAUAGAACACAACAGACACAUAAGAAGCAAUUAUGCCAUAAUUACUUCUUCACAAAGGGAGGUGUUUAUUUGGAGUUAAAUAUUGUAUAGCUGAUUCACAUUUCAACCCAAAGUACUGGAUUUCCUGGGUAACUUGGGGAAGAGGGCAAGAAAGAAGAAAAUAGGUAGAAAAAGAUCAACAAUAAAGUUAAAAAGCGGGGGCGGGGGGGGAGGACUGAAGAAAUAGGAAGAUAAAAGAAAGGGAAAAGGUGGGGGGGGGCGUCAAGUAGGUUGUAAGAGAAAGGGAGGGGGCACCUGGGUGAUUAAGUCGGUUGAGCAUCCAACUUCGGCUUAGGUCAUGAUCUCACAGCUCUUGAGUUUGAGCCCCACAAUGGGCUCACUGCUGUCAGUGCAGAGCCUGAUUUGGAUCCUCUGUCCCCCUCGCUCUUUGCCCCUCCCCCGCUCACACUCUCUCUCAAAAAUAAACAUUUAAAAAAAGGAUAUUUAAAAAAGAGAUAAGAGAAGGAAAGAAGAACACAAAAGAAAAAAGGUACAAAAGACAGGAGAGAGAAUUUCCUUUAGGCUGGUCUAGAAACUUAGCACACACUCUAACAGGAUUCUGGCUAAAGAGAUGGGUGCAGUACGUGGUGGCCUGAAUCUCUGUACUUCUUCACUGCCUUUACUCCAACCAUUUCCUCCAUCUGGAAUGUUCUUCCCAGCAUCUUUGCCAAGUUGAAUUUCUUCUGAAUUUUCAAGGACAUACUCAAAUGCUACCAGUUUUUAGAAACUUCCAAGAUUUCUCCCAAUUAGAAGUUAGUUCUCAAGAACUUCCACAGGGGCAUCUAGGUGGCUCAGUCAGUUGAGCAUCCAACUCUUGAUUUUGGCUCAGGCCAUGAUCCCAGGGUCGUGGGAUUGAGUCCUGUGUCAGGCUCCGUACUGAGCAUGGAGCCUGCUUAAGAUUCUCUCUUCCUGCCCCCCUCAACCACUCUCCCCUAACUCAUGCUCUCUCUAUAAAAUAAAAAAGGGGGGCACCUGGAUGGUUCAGUCAGUUAAGCAUUCGACUCUAGAUUUCAGCUAAGGUCAUGAUCUCACUGUUCGUGAGAUUGAGCCCUGUGUCAGGCUCUAUGCUGACAGUGCAGAACCUGCUUAGGAUUCUCUCUCCCUCUCCCUCUGCCCCCUCCUUCCCCUCCCCCCAAUACAUGUGCUCUCUCAAAAUAAAUUUUUAAAAAGAGGGUGGGGGGGGUGCCUGGUUGGCUCAGUCCGUUAAGUGCCUGACUCUUGAUUUCGGCUAAGGUCAUGAUCUCACAGAUUUGUGAGUUCGAGCCCCAGAUCAGGCUCCACACUGACAGUGCAGUCUGCUUGGGAUUCUGUCCCUCUCCCUCUCUCUCUGCUCCUCCCCCACUUGUUCUCUCUCUCAAAUAAACAAACUUAAAAUAAAAAUCUUAAAAAAAAAAAAAAUUCCCAUAAAGUUCCAGAGCACUU
rnacentral:lncRNA from 1 species